CGUAACAGAGCCUAUGGGUUUGACGGAAGUGCUGCCAAGAGAACCGACUACAGAUGAUACUACGGAUGUUUGCAACAUCUGCCACUGUCUGUUCAGGUGAUGAGAAAAAAAAAUGCCAAGAAGAAGUGGCGUGAGUGGCGACGUUGCAACACAUGUGAGCAGUGGUCACACCUGGCAGGUGGAUUCAAGAAAAACUUGUGUCGUCAUUGUCAGACUCCCAGAAGUUGAGCCUUGUUAUGUCUUUCAGAGCGAAGGUGAAACAUUAACAUGUUUAACGUUGAAAAAUUGUCUUAUAGUACUACUUGGUUCUUUGCUGGAAUAAUGACAUGGUGUCUCACUGUCCAAAAUGUUCAAAUCUGUAUGUUCGAAGAAACUGUCUAACAUAUGAUAGAAGUAGUUUUUGGCUUUUUAUAGCCAUGGAUCUCCAUUGUGCAACAUCUUCAGGUCUGUGAAAUCAUUCACUUCUGUUUUCAGCAAAAAUGUAAAACAAGCUUUUAUUGGAGAUGUAUUUUUUUGUUGUGCUAUCUGUCAUUAAACAUGUUUUUUUCAAAAUGUAUUAUGUAUCACUGGGACUGCAAAAAAGACACUUCUAAUUUGGUCACAGUUGUGACAUCUGUUUAUCCGAAAGCUGUCAAUGUUAGCAUUUCCUGUAGUUUGUCUUAAACAAUUGAUAAAUGUACAAUGCAUCAAUAAAAGCUUUUGUAUUGAAAAGAUAUUCUGUCAAAUGUGAGUGCUUUAAAUAGUAACAAACAUUUGGGUAUCAAACGAACACAUCAGUGAGCAUGUUAGCUGAACUCAUUACUAUUGCACUUGAAAAAUUUCCACAUGGUAGCACAGAUAAUACCCUUUAGCAAAAGAAUGAGUAAGAUCUUUCCUUUUACAUAAACAAAUUGACCAGGUUAGAAGACGACACGUUCAGGUAAAGGCACUUUCUCCCUUCGCGAAAUCGUUAGGACAGGCAUGUUGAUAGGAUACAGCUGGAGAAGAUCCCAGUGUGGGAUGCAGUAGUUCCACAACGUCACAUGUUACUAUUGGUUAUCAAUGGGUGACACGCCACGUGACCAGUUACACACUUUUUGCCGCUUAAUGAAAACUAUUAAUACGAUUUGACAUUAGGAUUUCAUUCUGUCUGAUAAUUUCAAUUUAUGACUGGAAAAUGUAAUUUACUUACUUUAACAGAAUUUGCUACCCACUCAGACUGGUGAGUUCAAUCAUGACAUCGCCCCGUGUGUCAAUGAUGGGGCGCAUUCCAUUUCAAACAUUGAACGUGUGCCGCAACAAUAAGACCCUGUGAGUUGUACGUGCGAGGCUGUUAUAAAGUAAUGUAUAUGGUCAUUGAGAGUGUAACUGUAGUGUGUAGUGUAUUAAACUAUGAUCAGGGCUUCACUUUUUUCUCAUAUUUAGUUUAGCUGCACUAUUACAGGUAGUAUGUGUUAACAAGGAGAAGCUGUAUGGGAGAGUGAUGCAAAAGAAGCCUUUUCAGCAAUUACGCCUCAAACAGAGCCGCUUGAGGUCUGCAAAAGCACAUUUGGACGAGCCAGCUUCAUUUUGGAAUAAGGUCCUGUGGACUGAAGAAACAAAGAUUGAGUUGUUUGGUCAUAAAAAAGGCAUUAUGCAUGGCGGGGG